UACGAAGGGGGCUAGCGUUGUUCGGAAUUACUGGGCGUAAAGCGCACGUAGGCGGAUAUUUAAGUCAGGGGUGAAAUCCCAGAGCUCAACUCUGGAACUGCCUUUGAUACUGGGUAUCUCGAGUAUGGAAGAGGUGAGUGGAAUUCCGAGUGUAGAGGUGAAAUUCGUAGAUAUCAAGAGGAACACCUGAGGUGAAGACGGGUUGCUGGGCCGACACUGACGCUGAGUGCGCGAAAGCCAGGGGAGCAAACGGG
rnacentral:rRNA from 1 species